GUGUAGUAUGAAAGGAGAGACGUUAUAGCACUCCCCUAGACAAGGAUGGAACACAUAUAAAUGGUAAGGGUACCGUCGCCUUUCGGUAGCACUUACCAUAUUCUUUU